rnacentral:rRNA from 1 species
GAAAGGGUUAGUAAUGGCUAGGUAACGUACCCCGUGCUCCGGGAUAGCUAUUCGAAAGGGUAGGUAAUACCGGAAGAACAUCGUGAAUCGAUGGGUUUGCGAUCAAAGAUUUAUCGGCGUGGGAGCGGCCUAGUUCCUAUCAACUUGUUGGUGAGGUAACGGCUCACCAAGGCAGCGACGGGUAGCGGGACUGAGAGGUUGGCCCGCAACAUCGGAACUGAGACACUGUCCGGACCUCCACGGAGGGCUGCAGUAACGAAUAUUGCGCAAUGGGCGAAAGCCUGACGCAGCGACGCCGCGUGUAGGAGGAAGUCCUUCGGGAUGUAAACUACUUUUCGGGUUACGAAAGUCUUCGGAUUGAUCUACCCCGGAAUAAGUCACGGCUAACUUCGUGCCAGCAGCCGCGGUAAGACGAAGGUGGCGAGCGUUGUUCGGUAUUACUGGGCUUAAAGCGUGUGUAGGCGGAAGCAUAAGCGUCUUGUGAAAUCCCUCGGCUCAACCGAGGAAAUUGCUUGGCGAACUGUGUUUUCUUGAGGCAAGUAGGGGUGCACGGAACUCUUGGUGGAGCGGUGGAAUGCUA